rnacentral:rRNA from 1 species
AGCGACUAAGCGUACACGGUGGAUGCCCAGGCAGUCAGAGGCGAUGAAGGACGUGCUAAUCUGCGUAAAGCGACGGUAAGGUGAUAUGAACCGCUACAGCCGUCGAUGUCCGAAUGGGGAAACCCGGUGCACUCUGUGCAUCAUUGCAGCAUGAAUACAUAGUGCUGCAAGGCGAACCGGGGGAACUGAAACAUCUAAGUACCCCGAGGAAAAGAAAUCAACCGAGAUUCCCCCAGUAGCGGCGAGCGAACGGGGAGCAGCCCAGAGCCUGAAUCAGUUUGUGUGUUAGUGGAAGCGUCUGGAAAGUCGCAGGGUACAGGGUGAUACUCCCGUACACAAAAACACACAUGCUGUGAGCUCGAUGAGUAAGGCGGGACACGUGGUAUCCUGUCUGAAUAUGGGGGGACCAUCCUCCAAGGCUAAAUACUCCUGACUGACCGAUAGUGAACCAGUACCGUGAGGGAAAGGCGAAAAGAACCCCGGCGAGGGGAGUGAAACAGAACCUGAAACCGUGUACGUACAAGCAGUGGGAGCCUUCUUUAUGGGGGUGACUGCGUACCUUUUGUAUAAUGGGUCAGCGACUUAUAUUCUGUAGCAAGGUUAACCGUAUAGGGGAGCCGCAGGGAAACCGAGUCUUAACUGGGCGUUAAGUUGCAGGGUAUAGACCCGAAACCCGGUGAUCUAGCCAUGGGCAGGUUGAAGGUUGGGUAACACUAACUGGAGGACCGAACCGACUAAUGUUGAAAAAUUAGCGGAUGACCUGUGGCUGGGGGUGAAAGGCCAAUCAAACCGGGAGAUAGCUGGUUCUCCCCGAAAGCUAUUUAGGUAGCGCCUCGUGAACUCAUCUUCGGGGGUAGAGCACUGUUUCGGCUAGGGGGCCAUCCCGGCUUACCAACCCGAUGCAAACUGCGAA